rnacentral:rRNA from 1 species
CCUACGGGCGGCAGCAGUGAGGAAUAUUGGUCAAUGGCCGGAAGACUGAACCAGCCAAGCCGCGUGAGGGAGGAAGGUACAAAGUAUCGUAAACCUCUUUUGUCAGGGGACAAAGACUGGCACGCGUCCCCGGACGAGUGUACCUGAAGAAAAAGCAUCGGCUAACUCCGUGCCAGCAGCCGCGGUAAUACGGAGGAUGCGAGCGUUAUCCGGAUUUAUUGGGUUUAAAGGGUGCGCAGGCGGUCUGUUAAGUCAGCGGUAAAAGCCCGGGGCUCAACCCCGGCCCGCCGUUGAAACUGGCAGUCUCGAGUUGGAGAGAAGUAUGCGGAAUGCGCGGUGUAGCGGUGAAAUGCAUAGAUAUCGCGCAGAACUCCGAUUGCGAAGGCAGCAUGCCGGCUCCACACUGACGCUGAGGCACGAAAGCGUGGGUAUCGAACAGGAUUAGAUACCCCUGUAGUC